UACGGAGGGAGCUAGCGUUGUUCGGAAUUACUGGGCGUAAAGGGAGCGUAGGCGGACAGUUUAGUCAGAGGUGAAAGCCCAGGGCUCAACCUUGGAAUUGCCUUUGAUACUGGCUGUCUUGAGUACGGGAGAGGUGUGUGGAACUCCGAGUGUAGAGGUGAAAUUCGUAGAUAUUCGGAAGAACACCAGUGGCGAAGGCGGCUCACUGGACUGGUAUUGACGCUGAGGUGCGAAAGCGUGGGGAGCAAACAGG
rnacentral:rRNA from 1 species